UACAGAGGGUGCAAGCGUUAAUCGGAUUUACUGGGCGUAAAGCGUGAGUAGGUGGCUCGCCAAGUCGAUUGUGAAAGCCCUGGGCUCAACCUGGGAACUGCGUUUGUGACUGCAAGACUUGAGUAUGGCAGAGGGGGGUAGGAAUUCCACGUGUAGCAGUGAAAUGCGUAGAGAUGUGGAGGAAUACCGAUGGCGAAGGCAGCCCCCCUGGGUCAAUACUGACGCUCAUGCACGAAAGGCGUAGGGGGAGCAAACAGG
rnacentral:rRNA from 1 species